UAGGGAAUCUUCGGCAAUGGGGGGAACCCUGACCGAGCAACGCCGCGUGAGUGAAGAAGGUUUUCGGAUCGUAAAGCUCUGUUGUUAAGGAAGAACGAGUGUGAGAAUGGAAAGUUCAUACUGUGACGGUACUUAACCAGAAAGGGACGGCUAACUACGUGCCAGCAGCCGCGGUAAUACGUAGGUCCCGAGCGUUGUCCAGAUUUAUUGGGCGUAAAGCGAGCGCAGGCGGUUAGAUAAGUCUGAAGUUAAAGGCAGUGGCUCAACCAUUGUAGGCUUUGGAAACUGUUUAACUUGAGUGCAGAAGGGGAGAGUGGAAUUCCAUGUGUAGCGGUGAAAUGCGUAGAUAUAUGGAGGAACACCGGUGGCGAAAGCGGCUCUCUGGUCUGUAACUGACGCUGAGGCUCGAAAGCGUGGGGAGCGAACAGG
rnacentral:rRNA from 1 species